GCGAACGGGUGAGUAACACGUGGGUAAUCUGCCCUGCACUUCGGGAUAAGCCUGGGAAACUGGGUCUAAUACCGGAUAUGACCACGAGGCGCAUGCCUUGUGGUGGAAAGCUUUUGCGGUGUGGGAUGGGCCCGCGGCCUAUCAGCUUGUUGGUGGGGUGAUGGCCUACCAAGGCGACGACGGGUAGCCGGCCUGAGAGGGUGUCCGGCCACACUGGGACUGAGAUACGGCCCAGACUCCUACGGGAGGCAGCAGUGGGGAAUAUUGCACAAUGGGCGCAAGCCUGAUGCAGCGACGCCGCGUGGGGGAUGACGGCCUUCGGGUUGUAAACCUCUUUCAGCAGGGACGAAGCGCAAGUGACGGUACCUGCAGAAGAAGCACCGGCCAACUACGUGCCAGCAGCCGCGGUAAUACGUAGGGUGCGAGCGUUGUCCGGAAUUACUGGGCGUAAAGAGCUCGUAGGUGGUUUGUCGCGUUGUUCGUGAAAACCGGGGGCUUAACCCUCGGCGUGCGGGCGAUACGGGCAGACUGGAGUACUGCAGGGGAGACUGGAAUUCCUGGUGUAGCGGUGGAAUGCGCAGAUAUCAGGAGGAACACCGGUGGCGAAGGCGGGUCUCUGGGCAGUAACUGACGCUGAGGAGCGAAAGCGUGGGGAGCGAACAGGAUUAGAUACCCUGGUAGUCCACGCCGUAAACGGUGGGUACUAGGUGUGGGUUUCCUUCCUUGGAAUCCGUGCCGUAGCUAACGCAUUAAGUACCCCGCCUGGGGAGUACGGCCGCAAGGCUAAAACUCAAAGAAAUUGACGGGGGCCCGCACAAGCGGCGGAGCAUGUGGAUUAAUUCGAUGCAACGCGAAGAACCUUACCUGGGUUUGACAUGCACAGGACGCCGGCAGAGAUGUCGGUUCCCUUGUGGCCUGUGUGCA
rnacentral:rRNA from 1 species